UAGCAUUCACAUAAUCCACUUGUAUGCCGCUCAGAGCUGUGCUGUUGGAGUUCUCAGUGUUCGUGUAGAACGCCAAAGCGGAAUUGGAGUUGACGUAUGUACAUACAUAUGUAUGGGGCCUGAAAAACUACCUUUUUCUUAAGUGAGCUUGUAGAAACUGUUUCUGAUAAAAGCUAUGUGUUUCAUAGUUCAUAAUUCGUUGGACAAAUGGAUCGUAAAUUUUGGUGUUAAUAAAAAAAGAUAUAUGAAAGAGAGGAAUGAAAAUCAGUCAGCUAGAAAUACUAUGACUCCAAUAAUUUCGUGUGAAUGGAAUAAUUUUCAUCGAAUAUCUCGAAAAACGGAAAGUCACUUUACUCCGCUGGAAAGAGUUCUAUCGACAAUGAGGGAGUAACUUCAAGACUAAGAGGUAUUUUGAAAUGAAAAAUAAAAAAAACGGUCUCAAAAAGUUGGAUGACCGUUAUAAACGCUUUAUCGCUUCUAAUAGCAACUAUAAGGAAAAAUAAAACCGAGUUUUACGAAUACAAUUUCUUUGAA